CACAUCUUAUAGUAAUGUGAAUUCACACUCAAAAAUAAGAGAAAACAAACGACACAACGGAAACACAACGUUAAAAUGUAACAAACUAUAAUAUAAUAAUGGCCAUAUUCCUGACUUGGUACAGGACAUUUUUAAAGGGAAAAAUAGUGGGUUGAACCUGGUUUUGUGGCAUGCCAAACCUCCCUCUUUUAUGGCCAUGUGAAAUAUAACAUUAAAAUGACAACACAACAUUACAGGACUACAAUAUAAAUAAAUAGGAGAACAUAAUUGACAAAGAAACAAACGAAUAAUAGACAACAAAAGGCAACAAGUUUAAAAUUUUAAUACGCCAGAAGUGCAAUUUGUCCAAACAAGACUUACUAGUGACGCCCAGAUACAAAAGUUUGAAAGCCGAAACAAGUACAAAGUUGAACAGCAUCGAGGACCAAAAGUUCAAAAAAAUUGUGCCAAAAUCUUCCACGGUUUUCUGUUAGGUACCAGAACAUCCCUAUUAUUUAGAAUAAUUUAUACUUUUGCAAACAGUAAAUUUUAUAAAAUGACUAUACAAAAGAUAUAUGAUAAAACUGAAGUAUUAACUAAUUACAGGAAACAACCGAAAUACUCUACAUAACCCGACGAAAUGCAGCACAUCCGAAUAAGUUUAAACCUCAACGCCAAGUGACGUCAGAUUUGAAAUUGUAAAAAAUGACAAAAAAAUUACGUCACAUAUGAAUUUGUAAAAAAGAUCAUCAAAAAAUAAAAAAUGACGUCACAUUUGAAUGAAUAAGAUAGAAUAAGGAUUGAUUUAAGAUUAUAUUUGAACUAAAUAUUGAUAUUACAUUUAAUAACAAUGCACAUUUAAAUACUUAUUAAUAGCAAACUAAGGUAACAAUUAACUAUAUUAUAUGUCCGGUUUGUUUUGAAUCUAACUUCAAACGUAAACCAUCGUACAGAUUA
rnacentral:lncRNA from 1 species